rnacentral:tRNA from 1 species
UGUGGCUUUGUUGGUUAAAGCGCCGAACUAUUGAUACGGAGUCGUGGGUUCGAAUCCCACCA